AAAUCAUCACAAAUUUAGUGACCUAAAACAACACCCCUUUGUCAAUGAGUCCAGGCAUUGAGUGAUGGCCUCAGUAUUCAUCAUCCACUGGUCUUGGUCAGAAUCCACCGAUUCUAAGGCUGAAAUCAAGGGGUCAGCCAAACAGACUUCUCAUUGGAUGCUCUCAGGCCUCCACCUGUCACCUGGUCUUUAAGCAUAUGCCAUGUAACUAUUGUGUGAUGAUAGAAUCUUACUUCUGGGUACCAAUUUCUGCUUCAGUUAUCUGUUGCUGUAUAAGAAGACCUUAAAAUCUAAUGGCUUAAAACACUAAAUGGCCUUUCCCUAUCUGCCUCAAACUUUGGCAACUGGGUUCCAAAACGGAGUACUCCAAGAAGAAGAGCCUUAAUGUUGUUUUAGAUUUCAAAAGCCUGGUCGGUCUAAUUAAUUCUAUCUUUAAAAGGAAAGAAAAACAAAAAACAACUUUAUCUUAAUACUAAAACCAUUUUAAAGUCAUCCAGGAGUUUGAGGAAGCCUUACAAGUUUCUAUUUUAUGCAGGGCCAGGCUUGGACUAUUAUGAAUGUUGCUGAACACUGUUAAUCAAGCUUACACAGCUAUUUUGAUGGCAAACAAUUAGAACUCUGCAGCUCUACCUUGCAAUUAGCUUCAGGGAUAUGGACCUCAGCACCAUAAUAAUGAAAGAGACCGCCUUCAAGCACAGACUCCUACAUGUAUUCUGAAUUCACGUUUCUUCUGGAAUAGGCACACCAACUAACUACGGAGUUUUAGUGAAUCUUCACUGAUCAGUAUGAGUCUGUAACUGUUCUCUGUUAAGGGUAAAUUUUAGUUAUUUGGACUAAAUAACUUCAAGCUCAAAAUGGCCUUGGGGCUUGAAGCUAUUUCUAAGUAGUAUCUUAAGUGACCCUUAAACUAUGUUUAGUUUGUUCUGACUCAAGUUUUCUUGAAGUUGAAAUAUAGCAAAAAUAGAUAUUUCUGUCUUUUUUUUUUUCUUCCAAUGUUAAGUUAGAAGAAAAACUAUUAGAAUUCCAGGGAUCUUGCUUAUUUUAAAAAUAUUCUCACAAUAAUUCCUUACACAAACUGUUACUUGAUGAUCAUCUACUACUCUAAAAAUGACUGAAAAGUCCAUGCCUAUGGAACUUACAAAACAUCAAGGUAAUUUCACCUUUUCCAAAGCUUUCUGUACAACUUUAUGAAGUUGAUCAUUCUAUGUUUGGGGAAAAUAUACAAUGGGACAAGCUGAAGUCCCAGAAUAAGAAAUAAAUCAUUUAUGGUAACAUUAACGGGCCAUUCCCAACAAUCACCAAAAUUACUUUUAGAUGUAAGCACUCACGAAUUUCUUUUAGCUAUUAUUUUGUACCACAGAAUGAAGUGGUUACAUAAGCAAUGCCUGAAAAUCUCAACUCCAAGCACAAUGUUGCUUCUGAGCCAGGAUUUGCUAAAAAAUUCUGGCUGUUUGUUAAAAUUAGCCCUAAUCUAGCUCUGAAUUUUCUUUCCUCCAGGUGCUCAAGAGCAAAAUUAUCUAAUCCACAGAACUCUGUGUUAACAGUUUUAAGUAUAUGUGUAUAUAUAUGAUUUUUAUAUUUAUUAAAAUAUAUCUACAUUUUAAAAUCACAGUGAAAAAAGAGACUCCAGAUAGAACAGAGAGACAUAAGAGCUCUUCCUGAGAAGUUUUUUAUCUAGUAGUAGAGAGAGGGUUAAAAAACAUCAACAUAGAAUAGCUUAGAAUUUGUAGUAAGAAAUGAAAAAGUGAUCAAAUUUUACAUCACCCCCUCUCCCACAAAAAGUCCUUAGGGAGGACAGAGUAAUCAGUUUGCUUAAUUAAUAAACAUUUUAAAAAUUAAGAAAAAAGGUCAAAGGUGAUAUUUUUUUUUAAUAUGAAAUUUAUUGACAAAUUGGUUUC